ensembl:lncRNA
GUGAAAGAAGGUUACAUGCUGAUGGGUGACCAACACGGGAAGCAAAUCUGCAUUUCCCUGGGGGUUGAAAGGUGGGGCAGGAUGAUGGUUCAAUCUUUGUUAAUUCAGGAUCUCUACUGACUUUGCAGAACUACCUCUAAGGGUGAGAAUCGACCACUUUGGGAGGGUGUCUGGUAGACAAUGAAGUCAAAUCAGGGAAUCUCUCCUCCCAUUCCCCAAAACAAAUGGACAAAAAAAUUUAAAAAUCCAGCAACUCUUCCCGAGAAUGAAAGUAGGGAAACCUCUCCAUGUCAGACCACCUUACCCCCAGCCCCACUCACCAGCCGCCUCGUGGUGCUGUCUGCUCUGUGGUUCUGACCUGUACGGACUACAUCCAUGGGGCCAUGACCUCUGACUUCCUGUUGUGUUUGGCCAAAAGAUGCCCAACCAGAGGUGGAGGGCAGAAGCAUAGCUCAAACAGAAAGAGGAAACCACAACCCAGAAAAGGAUAUUUGCAGCACACCUACCCACAAAUCAUUAAGGAUAAAGAAAUUCUACAGAUCAGUGGAAGACCGACAACCAAAUAGAAAACACGAGCAAAGGACUUGAAGACUUGAAGGUUACAGCAGCAAAGUCUGGAUCCUCUUCAGCUUCUGCUGCUGUUUGCCUGGGGAGAAUGGAGGUGAAGAAUCUGAAGCUGAGGAGAUGAACCAGCUCCCCUAGAACCCAGCAAAGACCCCAGCAGAGCCAAUUACAAACAUGGGUCUCCCUCACCAUAUCAAGCUGCUUCUCAAUGACUAAGAACCUAUGUAUUUAUUUUUGAACAUUUUAAUCUUUAUUUUGAAGUCAGUUCAGACUUACUAAAGGUUACAGCAAUAGCAUCAAGUUCUCCCAUCCCUGCAUGCUAACAUCCUGUGUUAAAUCUAGGACGACGGUAGAAACCAAAGAGUUAACAUUUGUAUUCACAGAAGAAAUGUUCACAUAUUGAAGUAGGAGUUAGUCAUUCGGGCUUAUGUAUGAAGUGAAGUGAAGUGAAGUCGCUCAGUCGUAUCUGAUUCUUUGCGACCCCAUGGACUGUAGCCCACCAGGCCCCUCCAUCCAUGGAAUUUUCUAGGCAAGAGUACUGGAAUGGUUGCCAUUUUCUUCUCCACGGGAUCUUCCCAACCCAGGGGAUCAAACCCAGGUCUCCCGCAUUGUAGGCAGACGCUUUACUGUCUGAGCCACCAGGGAAUCCCUAGGCUUAUAUAUGAGUUGUGUUGAAUUUUAUGCUAAAACAGCCUGUUUGUGACCCAUCAGACAUACACUGUAUAUUUGCUUUAAUCACUAAAGAAAAGGGCAGACUGUCCAGAAGUUUAUAACAUCUGAAGAUAAGAGAUAAAUGCCUCCCUUCCUAGGAUGCCGAUGCUCAGACUCCUUGAUGAUAAGACUCCUCUCCCAGGGCCACCGGUGAACUGACUCUCUGUAUACUCGCUGAUCCAGUUUUUCUGAAACCCUGCAGGCAUGUAUCCCUGACUGGUUUGAUGUUCUUUGUUCUAAAAUGACAUAAAACAGCUGACAGCCAUGCUUCUUCCCAGAAGUUCCUCAGAGUCGUCUGAGUUAUUGUGUCUCUGGCUAUACUUCUCGGUUUGUCUCAAAUAAAGCCCUUUUCUAUCUCU